UGACAGGACAGGCCUCUGCAGAUCUUCUCAUGUUUCUGAACAACAAAGGCGUAUCGUUUUCAGUCAAAGCUCUUGUUUGGCUUGGAGAAGAAUUUGAAAUGGUCGAAUCAGCAGGAAUAAAGAGACAAGUUGUGGCGACCCACUUUCCAGCACACUCGAACCGGUUCACGAAACAGCGCACGCCGGCAGAGAGGUCGGUCCCAAAAAGGGCGCCAGGCCAUCUUCAC